rnacentral:lncRNA from 1 species
AGACGAUGGUGAGUUGAGAAAAAAGCAAAAUGAGAGAGGCUUGAUGGUGAAAUCCCUUAAGGGCACUACAAGUCGACUGCGGAUUGUGGAUAGAUGGGACAAUUGAAGCGCUGAAGCCCAGUUUCACAGAGAAGAGGUAUACCAGGAAAUAAAAAUUAGACUUUCUUGAGAGAUCAGGUCGUCUAAUUCAAAAUACAUGUCAUGGUCAGCGGAGAUAGCCUUCAAAUC